rnacentral:tRNA from 2 species
GCCGCUGUAGCUCAGUUGGUAGAGCGGCGCUUUCGUAAAGCGUAGGUCACCGGUUCAACCCCGGUCAGCGGCUCCA